rnacentral:sRNA from 1 species
ACAGUAUAUCACUGAAUCAUUGAGUGAAAGAAUCAUGGCGCUGUCAGAUAGAAAGAUUUCACCAGGACAUUUAGAGAUGCUGGCCUUGUCUUGUUUUUACAAGCUUGACUUCAUCAUCUUUGACUCUGUGACCAAACAACAGUAUAGUCUUAC